AGGCACUACUGAAUAAAACUAAUGCUUCAUUACAGUUUAGAAAUGCAGAAAGAUUAUGAUACCAAAUAUUCUAAACGUUCUAAAGUGCCACUCUUAACGAUAAUAGCGUCAAUUUUGUGUUAAGGCUCUUUAAUGCACCGGGACUUGAAAAAUACGUAUGACUGGGCAUUUACUGUACGAACGAGUUUUUGGGGAAAAGCUAGUUAUUAAAAUUUAACUGUAAUUCAAAUGUCAUAAGUUUCGUUUUUCAAUUUUACUCCUCAAAUACUUUGUAAAGAACAUUGUGAAUGACAACCAAAAAUUUCUAGUAAAAUUUCAAUAACAAAAAAACUGCUUCCUUUAUUUUGAAUAAUAUACUUCGAAGUCAUCUUUGUCAUUAUUGUACCCGCAGUAUCAAAGUGUGUUAACCACAAAUAAACGACUUUAUAUGCGUGUGUAUGUGUUUGCUUGUAUGCGAUAUAUAUAUACGAUGAUAGAGUUGAAAAUAGAUAUUUAUUGCAGUGCUUAGGUAAUUAAUGCACAUAUGCAUAGGAAAAACUGUCAUUAUUGCAAUGUAUUCCUGCACGUUAGUUAUGAUUACCGCAUCUCUAUUUAUUUUAUGUCAUAUACAUUAUAUUGAAGCGAAUGAUUACGUUGGAAGGAUCAUUUUCCCCGAUGAAUUUUUGGCGUUUGAGAAAGCUGACUCAAAUCUCACGUCGAGAUUUGGCAUAAGAGUUGGGAGAUGUCCAUCAGGACAAGUGUGGCGAGGUUUCGUAUGCGUUUGAAGGGAAAUAUUUUUAUGUAAUGGUACCUAAUUAGAGACACCAGUCGAAGUGAUGUUUUGUUUUAGGUACGCCGAUUCACAACUCGGGCAAUCGUUUGAUUAAUGUGUUCAUAAUUUAAAAUAAAAAUAUAAUAUUUUGU